rnacentral:rRNA from 1 species
UAAUACAGAGGUCCCGAGCGUUGUUCGGAUUUACUGGGCGUAAAGGGUGCGUAGGCGGUUGGGUAAGUCUGACGUGAAAUCUCCGGGCCUAACCCGGAAACUGCGUUGGAUACUAUUUGACUAGAGGAAUGGAGGGGAGACUGGAAUACUUGGUGUAGCAGUGAAAUGCGUAGAUAUCAAGUGGAACACCAGUGGCGAAGGCGAGUCUCUGGACAUUUCCUGACGCUGAGGCACGAAAGCCAGGGGAGCAAACGGG